rnacentral:rRNA from 1 species
AACGAACGCUGGCGGCAGGCUUAACACAUGCAAGUCGAACGCAUCCUUCGGGGUGAGCGGCAGACGGGUGAGUAACGCGUGGGAACGUGCCCUUCAGUUCGGGAUAACCCAGGGAAACUUGGGCUAAUACCGGAUACGUGCGAGAGCAGGAAGAUUUAUCGCUGAAGGAUCGGCCCGCGUCUGAUUAGCUAGUUGGUGGGGUAAUGGCCCACCAAGGCGACGAUCAGUAGCUGGUCUGAGAGGAUGAUCAGCCACAUUGGGACUGAGACACGGCCCAAACUCCUACGGGAGGCAGCAGUGGGGAAUAUUGGACAAUGGGCGCAAGCCUGAUCCAGCCAUGCCGCGUGAGUGAUGAAGGCCUUAGGGUUGUAAAGCUCUUUCGUCCGGGACGAUAAUGACGGUACCGGAAGAAGAAGCCCCGGCUAACUUCGUGCCAGCCGCCGCAGUAA